rnacentral:rRNA from 1 species
UACAUCCAAGGAAGGCAGCAGGCGCGCAAAUUACCCAAUCCCGAUUCGGGGAGGUAGUGACAAUAAAUACUGAUACAGGGCUCUUUUGGGUCUUGUAAUUGGAAUGAGUACAAUUUAAAUCCCUUAACGAGGAACAAUUGGAGGGCAAGUCUGGUGCCAGCAGCCGCGGUAAUUCCAGCUCCAAUAGCGUAUAUUAAAGUUGUUGUGGUUAAAAAGCUCGUAGUUGAACCUUGGGCCUGGCUGGCCGGUCCGCCUCACCGCGUGUACUGGUCCGGCCGGGCCUUUCCCUCUGUGGAACCCCAUGCCCUUCACUGGGUGUGGCGGGGAAACAGGACUUUUACUUUGAAAAAAUUAGAGUGCUCCAGGCAGGCCUAUGCUCGAAUACAUUAGCAU